rnacentral:tRNA from 1 species
GGGGGCAUAGCUCAGUUGGUAGAGCGCUUGAAUGGCAUUCAAGAGGUCAGGGGUUCGACUCCCCUUGCCUCCACCA